CCUACGGGGGGCAGCAGUGGGGAAUAUUGGACAAUGGGCGCAAGCCUGAUCCAGCCAUGCCGCGUGAGUGAUGAAGGCCUUAGGGUUGUAAAGCUCUUUUAUCCGGGACGAUAAUGACGGUACCGGAGGAAUAAGCCCCGGCUAACUUCGUGCCAGCAGCCGCGGUAAUACGAAGGGGGCUAGCGUUGCUCGGAAUCACUGGGCGUAAAGGGCGCGUAGGCGGCGUUUUAAGUCGGGGGUGAAAGCCUGUGGCUCAACCACAGAAUGGCCUUCGAUACUGGGACGCUUGAGUAUGGUAGAGGUUGGUGGAACUGCGAGUGUAGAGGUGAAAUUCGUAGAUAUUCGCAAGAACACCGGUGGCGAAGGCGGCCAACUGGACCAUUACUGACGCUGAGGCGCGAAAGCGUGGGGAGCAAACAGGAUUAGAUACCCUAGUAGUC
rnacentral:rRNA from 1 species